GAGACCAAAUUUCGAGGCUGCUGAAACGAUUUGGCUUGACGCGAACGAAGACGGCGGCGGUCUCAAUCAAAACAUUUCGGACCCGUUCCCGUCCCGGCCCGUCCUACUCGAGGCCGCCGACAAGCUGCACGGACCUCUGCGGCGGCAGGAGGGCGGCGGGCCGCAGAAGAAGGCCAUGCCGACCACGUCGGGCCUCAAGAAGUAGAGCGACGGCGAUUGCAACGAGCCGAUGCAGGGACCGUAGCAGAUGAGGGAGAUACAGUAGGACUUCUGCGGCGGCCUCGACGGCUCGUAGCUGCCGCUGGCAGGGAUGAUGUAGGAGCGGACUGUUCGAGGAAGCUCGUAUCGCACGCAUGUACGAUGACAUUAAAUCGAGCGACGUAUGACACAGCGGUAACCAACUUAACCUCUACCAAACAUUAAUUCGCCACACAAUUAAUCACACAUCGAUCACCAAACUCCUUAAUCGGUUACAAGAAAGAAAGAGCUAACCUAACCACGACACGACACAACCUAAUACCUACCCGAAUCCAGGUAUAUUCUGUUAUUAAGG
rnacentral:rRNA from 1 species